UCGACUGUACUUACAAGGAUCUUGUAUACAGUAUAUAUCUUUGCCUUUGUUUCCGAACAAAGUCAUGUCAACCUGACUGGAAGAUGAAUUAUACUGCACUGUCCGUAAAGGGAAGUGUGAGUCUAUUUCUUGGUCGGUUUCUCAUGGAAUCCACAAGCCAGAUUUAUUCUCGUUGAUGAUCUUGCGACUCUCUUUUGGGUUGCGAGGACGGAUGCAGAUUCUGACAGUCU
rfam:Smittium mucronatum strain ALG-7-W6 scaffold-3842, whole genome shotgun sequence.